GACGAACGCUGGCGGCGUGCCUAAUACAUGCAAGUAGAACGCUCAAGGAGGAGCUUUCUCUUCUUGAUGAGUUGCGAACGGGUGAGUAACGCGUAUGUAACCUGCCUGUUAGCGGGGGAUAACUCUUGGAAACGAUAGCUAAUACCGCAUAACAGUAGAUGUUGCAUGACAUUUACUUAAAAGGUGCAAUUGCAUCACUACCAGUUGGUCCUGCGUUGGAUUAUCUAGUUGGUGGGGUAACGGCUCACCAAGGCGACGAUACAUAGCCGACCUGGUAGGGGGAACGGCCAAACUGGGACUGGGAAACGGCCCAGACUCCUAAGGGAGGGAGCAGGAGGGAAACUUCGGGAAAGGACGGAAGGCUGAACGAGGAAAGGCGGGGGAGUGAAGAAGGUUUUCGGAUCGUAAAGAUCCGUUGUAAGAGAAGAACGAGUGGGAGAGUGGAAAGUUCACAUUGUGACGGUAUCUUACCAGAAAGAGACGGCUAACUACGUG
rnacentral:rRNA from 1 species